rnacentral:tRNA from 1 species
GGAGAGGUGCCAGAGUGGUUGAAUGGGGCGGUCUCGAAAACCGUUGUGGGGGCAACUUCACCCAGGGUUCGAAUCCCUGCCUCUCCGCCA